rnacentral:rRNA from 1 species
UACGUAGGUCGCAAGCGUUGUCCGGAUUUACUGGGCGUAAAGAGCGCGCAGGCGGCUGGUCAAGUCCGAUGUGAAAUCUCCCGGCUCAACUGGGAAACUGCAUCGGAAACUGAUCGGCUUGAAGAUGGGAGAGGGUAGUGGAAUUCCCGGUGUAGUGGUGAAAUGCGUAGAUAUCGGGAGGAACACCAGUGGCGAAGGCGAGCUACCUGGCCCAUUCUUGACGCUGAGGCGCGAAAGCUAGGGGAGCAACGGG